CCUACGGGAGGCAGCAGUGGGGGAUAUUGGACAAUGGGGGGAACCCUGAUCCAGCGACGCCGCGUGAGUGAAGAAGUAUUUCGGUAUGUAAAGCUCUGUCAGCAGGGAAGAAAGAAAUGACGGUACCUGACCAAGAAGCCCCGGCUAACUACGUGCCAGCAGCCGCGGUAAUACGUAGGGGGCAAGCGUUAUCCGGAAUUACUGGGUGUAAAGGGAGCGUAGACGGUUAAGUAAGUCUGGAGUGAAAGGCCGGGGCCCAACCCCGGGACUGCUCUGGAAACUAUUGAACUUGAGUGCAGGAGAGGUAAGCGGAAUUCCUAGUGUAGCGGUGAAAUGCGUAGAGAUUAGGAGGAACACCAGGGGCGAAGGCGGCUUACUGGACUGUAACUGACGUUGAGGCUCGAAAGCGUGGGGAGCAAACAGGAUUAGAUACCCCGGUAGUC
rnacentral:rRNA from 1 species